CAGUAGCCACGGGAAUACGUAGGUGGCAAGCGUUGUCCGGAAUUAUUGGGCGUAAAGGGCUCGCAGGCGGUUUCUUAAGUCUGAUGUGAAAGCCCCCGGCUCAACCGGGGAGGGUCAUUGGAAACUGGGGAACUUGAGUGCAGAAGAGGAGAGUGGAAUUCCACGUGUAGCGGUGAAAUGCGUAGAGAUGUGGAGGAACACCAGUGGCGAAGGCGACUCUCUGGUAUGUAACUGACGCUGAGGAGCGAAAGCGUGGGGAGCGAACAGGAUUAGAUACCCCCGUAGUCCCUGUCUCUUAUAC
rnacentral:rRNA from 1 species